UCGGAACAAGAGCAGUUUCAUUAUCAUCCAGGUUAGAGCAUUCUUCUUACGAGAUCUCGAAAAUUCAGUCAGAUUGUGAUUCCGAAUCCAUAGACUAACAUCAUCAUGAUUUCGAAAACCAUCAUUUCCCUUUUCGUUCUCGUCGCUAUCGUGGGUGUUGCGAUGAGUAGGAUCAUUUCUGAGGAAGAUGUCGCAUUGGAAGACUGCUUUGAUCCGUGCAGAUUGGAAAUUUGCCGGUUCAAUAUUCAUGCCGAGUGUCAGAUGAACUUGGAUACAAACCUUGUCGAAUGGUAUUUUAAUAGAGAGGUGAUCGAUUGUGAUACCUGUCCGGAUGGUCACGCCGAGCAGGACUGUGAAGAUGAGUGCCAGAGUAACGUAUGUGAAACCGGGGCACAUGAAGCCGCCAUAUGCAGGAUGUUCAACUGUGGACAAUGCACUCCGGAAUACUUCAAUCCUGGUAGCAGCGAAAACAUGCUCGAGUGCUGGGGUGAAAAGCGUUUCGAAAAGCAAGAAGAUGGAAUUCUCCGGGAAAUUCCCACGGUCGCCUAUUUAAAGACAACCGAGUAUCAUUCUCUCCCCCGGGGCGGGGGGCACUUCCAAUGACAAGUGGAUACCAUGCGCGAACAUGGGGUCUCGAAAAGCACCCUAAACAUGUAUUUUCCAUUUUCUGAAAAUGCACCCCUUAACAAGUAUUGGCGUGUGAAACCCUACCCUUAACAAGUAUUGGAAACAAAACGAUACUCUUGGCAAGUUCCCUGAAUUGACCCCCUAAACAAGUACGGCGAUAUUUUUAUUGUGAUGUCACGGACGUCGGUCGUCAGUUUUAACCUAGUACAGCCCCACCUCCCAAAUCUCGCGCAAAUCGUACUCUAAACAUGUUGACUCUUGGGGCAAAAGAACAUCCUUUAUAAAACAUUUUAGUCUUACUUUUUUACACCCUCGCAAAUUUGAUCCUAAACACGUCGCUUUCCUAGCGAAAAUAGAUACCCUUUUUUCAUUAUUUUAGUGUUUUUGACACCCUUAUCACGUUACGUACGUAACGUGCCCUACCUUCAAGUUGAAAAAGACAUCCUUUUUACGUGUUUUUUUUGGUCGCGCAUGGUAUCCACUCGUCAUUGUAAGUGCCCCCCCCCCCCCCGGUUCUCUCCCCCUCCCCUCUUCUCUCUCUAUUCAAGUGACGUUUGAUGUUCUAAAUUCUAAAGUCUUCAUUUAACAAUUGGUUUCCGACUAUUAAUUUCAGUAAAAAAAAACCGCUAAAACUCUUCGGAUAUAUGUAAAGAAAAGUAUUACCAUGAUACGUUAUAUGCACAUCCUGGUCAGUAUGCAAUGAGGAGACUGAUGAUAUCAUCCACUCACUAUUAUUUUGUAUUUUAUUAUAUGAAAUAUUCUAAUUUUCUCCUCAUUGUCAAGUAAAACAACAAUCAUUCCUCUCUGAACAUGUGGAAUUAGCAUUGUUUAAUAUUACAUGGUUCAGUCACGUUGGUCCAUAUUGUCAAAUUUGUAAAAAAUGAAAUAUUGUUUAGAUGUUUUGACAAUGUUGUUGUUUUAGCAGAAUAUAUAUUUAAAAAUUAUGAUCAAAUUUUCAUGGCAUUUCGUAUAUCGGUCCAA